UGGGGCGCAGGCUCCGUCUGCGCUGGCGCUGGCGCGGCCGCAGCCACACCCCGGCCCGCACGGCCCGGCACCUGCAUCCCGCUGCGUCCCGAUGCGCAGGGGCCUGGGGCCCGGAGGCGAGCGGUGCAUGCAGGAGCAAGACCCAGCCCCUCGCCAGGCACAUGUGCCGUCUGUGGUCUGGAGCCACAGACCUCUGGGCCCCUUCUGCCAUUUCCUCUUGACACUUUACUGUCAAGCCAACCUGGACUGUUUGCAACUUCCUGAAGAGCCAUUCAGACUGUAAGUUCUUCCAGGGCAGGCCCGUGUCUGUGCCUCCUCUUCUGCCUUCAGCCCUGCGCUCAGCCCGAGCCUGCCCCUCG